AUUUCGAGUGUCAACUCUAUCUACCACUUAGGUGUUGCCACGUCAAUUGGAUGGACACUGCUAUUAAGUUAUCUAAAAAUUGCUGAAAUCUCUGUUCGACCCAACGCCAUUCACAAGUCUUAUAAAUUUCCCCCAAAUUCAACUUAUGAUUCAUUUUGGUAUAGCUUUUCCUUUGUAGCUUGCAAUAAUUAAACAAUUGACAAAAGAAAAGAGGAAGGUUCAUUUCACAACUCACAACGUAUAAAUAAAGAAGGAGAUGGGUCAUCACCAUCACCACCACCACCACCAUGAAGGUGCCAAUCCAUAUGAUGAUCCCUUACUGGCAUGUUGUUGUUGUCCUUGCUUGCUAGUCUCCUCUGUCUUCUCUAUGUUUACAAGAUGCAUCUUUAUGGCCUGUUACCCUUUUCUGCACUGUUUAGGAUGGGAUGAACAUAGACACCACCACCACCACCACAGCCAUUUCUUGUAACCCCCAAUUUGAUGAUUGUCUCCCUACUAUAGCGAGACAAAGUUGUCAUUUUUGUUUUUCAAUUUCAGAGGAUUGUUUAGUAUUUCAAUUUUCUUUGUUUGUGUAUACUUUACCUAGUACCAGUUAUAAUUUUUGAGUUGUUGUUUGUUCACGGGUGGAAGAAAAAUAGAAUCUUGUUCAACUAUAUGCUGUUGCAAAUCAUGUAACUUCGUUUGUUUGAAAGAGUAUAGUGGUGUUGAGUUUCUCGACCCUUU